UACUUUCCAUUUCAUAUCACAAAACCGCGAUACCAUCCCACUCCAUCUUCAUUCCUAUAUCACAAAACACCUUCACACUCCACCCUCUUGCACACCCAACCCCCUUAACCGCGCCUAUUUCUUCACUUCAACCUCGCACAACCAGUUCCAUUUCCUCACACCGUGAGCAUUGACCAAGAGUGAGAGAGGGAGAGCUUCACCUCGUGAUCAUCGACGAGAGAGAGAGAGAGAGCUGCACCUUGCAGCCGAGAGGAAAGAAAGAAAAAUCGCGAGCUGAAUCUUCUCUGGUCUGUCCGUGAGUUUGAGGGAAGAAAGGAGAGAGCAAGUGGAAGUCGUGGGAGCUGCUGAUCGUCACCACCUUCAUCAGUCCCAGCCGCAACUAUUGCAACCAGAACCAGCACUUCAGGCCUUGCGCGCGUGCCGAGAGGAAGAAAAAAAUUCAGCUCUGCCGUAUGGGUGAGUUGCACUGUGAGGAUAUUGCGAGGACGCGGAAUUCGAUUCCCAACUUGAUACCUGAACUUCACUCUUGGUGAGUGUCCCUGUCUGUUCUAUGCUUACCUGUUUAAAGUACUUCCUUGACUCGAUAUGUGAUAAUUUGCAAAACUGAUUUUUGAUCCAUCGAAGUGAGCUGUGUGUACUUUAUCGCACUAGCCGUUCGAGUGGUGACUUGUGCAAAAACAUUUUUCUCCUGAAUCCUUGAUUCUAAAUGUAGUUGCGUCGUUGGGUGAAUCCCUCGACUUCUGUAUCCAACUACCCUGAAUCUAAAAGUAGUUACGUCGUUGGGUGAAUCCCUCGACGCAUGAAUCUAACUACCAUAAUGUCGUUGGGUGAAUCCCUCGACCAAACAUCUACGGGUAUAUCUCGAGUAUUCUGCGUCCUUUGUCGGUGAGCGGGCCCGGGACCGGGGUAUGAAUGGUGACGGGUUAGGAUUAAAAUGAGUGGAUCUACAUGGACUAUAAGUAGUGAGAGUUGACGGAGGGUCAACUACGAUGAAUGGUGGUCAAGCGAGGAGAAUGGCUCCUGAGAGCCCCUGUAUCCUACCUUGUGCUGUUAUACGCUUUCCUAACUGUUCAAUUUGUUUAAGUUAUUUCUCGCUGUUUGAUUUACGUGACUGCAUGUUUUGGGGCACCACUGAGCUUUAGCUCACCCCAUGUUUAUUUGUUUUCCUUACAGGAUGGAAGGUUUGAAAGUAUUUGAACAGCUUAUAUUUCCUAUGGUUGUACUUGAACAACUUGAAUUUAAUUUUCGGUUUGUAAUGACUUCUAAGCUAAGCAUUGUACCUUUCAUUUUGGAUUGCCACUUGAAGCUGGAAAAGUGUAAUCCCUAAUUCUAGUAUUCGGUAUGUAUGUUUGUAUUGGUAUAGUAUGUCCUUAACCCUUGCGAGCGACGCGCGAAGUGUUUAAGAGCCGUCGAUUGGCUAAGUUAUAUGUUGUUAUCUUUGAAGUUAAUGUGGUGAUAGAAAUCGAUUUGUUUCGGAAGAAUCAUUUUUGUAAUAGCUUAGGUUAAUCGUCGGAAGGUUUUGGGUUAGAAUGCUUGCGUGAGUCCUGGCGAGAGCUGGGCAGACGGCCCGCCAACCCUUUGGUUCGCCUUAGGGGGAAGUGGGGUCGCCACAAUUUCGACUUAGUAAAUUCAUGCUAUGUGUUAUUGGAUGAAGAAUAGAACUCCUGUGAGCCCGACUUCUUCUGGCUUGUUGUAUACAUUCUAUUUUAUCUAUAUAAUAUAUCAUUCUUAGAUAAAAUUUAGAAAAAUUGGUCCUAGUACGUAAAUUUUUCUAGGGCAAUAAGAUACAAACUUGCAUAUCAUAGUUAAUAUAUAGUAAAUUUUAGUUCUUAAAUUAUCCGCUGAAAUGUGAUGAUGUAAUGAAUUUCAACCCAUAAACAAGAUGGAUUCCUGAUAGACUCUCGGUUCAACCCCCGUUCAAAUUUUAUGUUGAUCAGUCAGAAGUAAUGGCAUUUGGGUCGACAUGGGGCCUCCAUUCGGCCCAUCCACCACAAUCAACAACCUUAUUUUUGCCCAUGUUGAGGAGAUAUUGUCGAAAAUUUUAAUUCGGGAGCCGAAUAUAUUUGGACAGGGAAGUGAAUGGUGGCGAUUAAUCACUUCAGUUGCACGAGUGUCCGUUUCAUAGGAAAAGCAAAAGAUUAGCUCCUAUGCUAAAUGAAUUCAUACAAAAGUUUGGAGGGAGCAAAAUGAGAAUAAACUUAUGUAGAUGGAAUAGUUGAGUGAAUGUCUAUCACCCAUCACAAGAUAGACAAGACUAUGCUAUAUAUUCAUACAUUUAUUUUAUAUUCUUGGAUUGUCGUAAUCUUUGACGGCUUCUCUUGCUGAGUAGGUGUCGACCAGUUCAAUCCCCAACAUUUAUUUGUUUCUCAGCAUGGCUGCUUAGUCUUCAUCCCUUUUGAUGAUUAUCUGUUACUAAAUUUGUUGCUAUCUAUUCAUAACCCACAUUGUUGCAUUUAAAUGAA